rnacentral:lncRNA from 1 species
GCAUAAUCUAGGAUGCCAGUAGAAAAUAGCCUAGGGCCUCAGGAUACUGUGGGCAGCUUAUGUGGUAAUAUGAUUUCUACCUAGAUUUCUGACUAAUGACAUGUUGAAUUGAAGAUUCUUGAGCCACUAGAAAUAGGAUUGUACUUCUUGAAUGUUGGUUACCAAUCACAAGUGUAGGUAUAAGCAAAGUAUCUAGAUUAUAGGCUUUAUAGGGUUGCACUGGAUCUCAUUAUACAGGCCAGAACUGAGAAAGUCACACAUGCUAGUCAGACAUCAAGUCAGAAACAAUUUAAUUGGUAGAUAAUGUCACUUCCAGUCCAUGCAGGUGAAUUUAUUUGGGGUUUUGUUCAUUUCAGUCCUCUCUCUGCGCACCCCUGUAUCAGAUGCAACUACCUGAAACUAACUAAAUCAAUGAACUUCAACAUUUCAGGUGAAAGACCUAUAGUAUUAUUUUUCAGGUAGUUGCAUGCAUGAUACAUUUAAGCCUUUAAUAGUGUGGUGGCUUAAGCUGUUUUAAUUCUCAUUUCCUUUCUUCACUUCUUUUGUCUGUAGUGAAAACUUUAAUUUAUAACAUUUUAAUUAUAUAAUCUCUUUUUGGUCUAAUUGCAGAAUUAUUUGAUGGUGAUACAGUUCAUAUAGUUCAACCUCUUUAUUAAAGAAUUAUCAAUUAUUAGAAAGAAUUAAUUUUGUUAGCAGUGGUAAAACUAUCCAGACAAGUUAUUAUUAUGACUUUGUAGCCAGAUGGGUAUGAUUUGCUUUGGCUGUUCAGCAUUUUGAUCCAUUGUGAUAUGUCUUGUGGUACCUGUGAAUGAUUUUACCUGCAAAAUUAAUGACACAAUAUCAGAAUGUAACAUUACAUUAAGAUACAUCCUUACACUGCAAUAUAAUUAUGUAAAUAUAGAUGUUCAGUGUGAAGAAUAUGGUCUUUGACAUUCUUUGUAUAUAAUAAACAUGUUAUUGUGAAAUGGAAAUGAUCAAAUAAAGUUAUUUCUGCAACAGCCCUUGCAUUCAAACACCUUAUUUGUAUUUUUCUUGUUCAUGCUUGAGCAUAAGCCUCAGGAUAAGCAAAUUCCAUUGGAUUUGUGAGGGCACUUGAACUAUAUUGGGUCAUUACAUGAAUUACAGAAAAGAUUCAGACUCCUACAG